GCACGCUGUGAAUAACCAAUCGGCAGCAUCGAAACCCGUGGUCAGGUUGCUACGUCAUUUCGUUCUGUUGUGCAUGUCGCUAAAUGUUGUUUUUCGUGCACGCCAUGUGCCUGGGUUCAUGAAUGAUGCGGCUUACGCUCUGUCUCGUUUUCAGUGGUCACGAUUCUGGACGGUGGCGCCGGAAGCGCAAGAAGUGGGGCAGGCUUGCCCAGACGAGAUUUGGCGGCUCGGGGCGACCUGCUUGGGGGACUGGUGAAGGCUUCGCUGGCGCCGGCCACAUGGGCCGCUUACAGUAAGGUCUGGGACUCCUGGGAAAGGUCAUGGGAGGGGUUGGACCGCCUGCCGG